rnacentral:rRNA from 1 species
CAGUCGCCACGGUAAUACGGAGGGAGCUAGCGUUGUUCGGAAUUACUGGGCGUAAAGCGCACGUAGGCGGCUUUGUAAGUUAGAGGUGAAAGCCUGGAGCUCAACUCCAGAAUUGCCUUUAAGACUGCAUCGCUUGAAUCCGAGAGAGGUGAGUGGAAUUCCGAGUGUAGAGGUGAAAUUCGUAGAUAUUCGGAAGAACACCAGUGGCGAAGGCGGCUCACUGGCUCGGUAUUGACGCUGAGGUGCGAAAGCGUGGGGAGCAAACAGGAUUAGAUACCCGCGUAGUCCCUGUCUCUUAUAC